rnacentral:rRNA from 1 species
GAUCCAGACUUUGAUUCUGGCUCAGGAUGAACGCUAGCUACAGGCUUAACACAUGCAAGUCGAGGGGCAGCAUGGUCUUAGCUUGCUAAGGCCGAUGGCGACCGGCGCACGGGUGAGUAACACGUAUCCAACCUGCCGUCUACUCUUGGACAGCCUUCUGAAAGGAAGAUUAAUACAAGAUGGCAUCAUGAGUCCACAUGUUCACAUGAUUAAAGGUAUUCCGGUAGACGAUGGGGAUGCGUUCCAUUAGAUAGUAGGCGGGGUAACGGCCCACCUAGUCUUCGAUGGAUAGGGGUUCUGAGAGGAAGGUCCCCCACAUUGGAACUGAGACACGGUCCAAACUCCUACGGGAGGCAGCAGUGAGGAAUAUUGGUCAAUGGGCAAGAGCCUGAACCAGCCAAGUAGCGUGAAGGAUGACUGCCCUAUGGGUUGUAAACUUCUUUUAUAAAGGAAUAAAGUCGGGUAUGCAUACCCGUUUGCAUGUACUUUAUGAAUAAGGAUCGGCUAACUCCGUGCCAGCAGCCGCGGUAAUACGGAGGAUCCGAGCGUUAUCCGGAUUUAUUGGGUUUAAAGGGAGCGUAGAUGGAUGUUUAAGUCAGCUGUGAAAGUUUGCGGCUCAACCGUAAAAUUGCAGUUGAUACUGGAUAUCUUGAGUGCAGUUGAGGCAGCGGAAUUCGUGGUGUAGCGGUGAAAUGCUUAGAUAUCACGAAGAACUCCGAUUGCGAAGGCAGCCUGCUAAGCUGCAACUGACAUUGAGGCUCGAAAGUGUGGGUAUCAAACAGGAUUAGAUACCCUGGUAGUCCACACGGUAAACGAUGAAUACUCGCUGUUUGCGAUAUACGGCAAGCGGCCAGGCGAAAGCGUUAAGUAUUCCACCUGGGGAGUACGCCGGCAACGGUGCAACUCAAAGGAAUUGACGG